rnacentral:pre_miRNA from 1 species
GAUGUACUCCCUUCGUCCAGAACUACUUAUCGAAGAAACGAAUGUAUCUAUACGUAUUUUAAUUUUAGAUACAUUUAUUUUUAUCCAUUUUUGUGACAAGUAAUACCGCACGAAGGGAUAUAAA